UACGUAGGUGGCGAGCGUUGUCCGGAUUUAUUGGGCGUAAAGCGCGCGCAGGUGGUGCGGUAAGUCCUGUGUGAAAUCUCCCGGCUCAACUGGGAGGGUGCGGAGGAGACUGCCGGACUGGAGGCACUCAGAGGCCGGUGGAAUUCCCGGUGUAGUGGUGAAAUGCGUAGAGAUCGGGAGGAACACCAGUGGCGAAGGCGGCCGGCUGGGGGUGACCUGACGCUGAGGCGCGAGAGCGUGGGGAGCGAACAGG
rnacentral:rRNA from 1 species